CCUACGGGUGGCAGCAGUGGGGAAUAUUGGACAAUGGGGGGAACCCUGAUCCAGCCAUGCCGCGUGUGUGAAGAAGGCCCUCGGGUUGUAAAGCACUUUCAGUGAGGAAGAACGCCUGGUGGUUAAUACCCAUCAGGAAAGACAUCACUCACAGAAGAAGCACCGGCUAACUCCGUGCCAGCAGCCGUGGUAAUACGGAGGGUGCGAGCGUUAAUCGGAAUUACUGGGCGUAAAGCGCGCGUAGGUGGCUUGAUAAGCCGGUUGUGAAAGCCCCGGGCUCAACCUGGGAACGGCAUCCGGAACUGUCAAGCUAGAGUGCAGGAGAGGAAGGUAGAAUUCCCGGUGUAGCGGUGAAAUGCGUAGAGAUCGGGAGGAAUACCAGUGGCGAAGGCGGCCUUCUGGACUGACACUGACACUGAGGUGCGAAAGCGUGGGUAGCAAACAGGAUUAGAUACCCUAGUAGUC
rnacentral:rRNA from 1 species